UAUGGCCAUAUCACAUUGAAACACUGGUUCUCAUACAGUCACUGAAGUUAAGCAAUAUUGAGCCUGGUCAGUACUUAGAUGAAUGACUGCUUGGGAAUAUUAGGUGCUGUAA